rnacentral:rRNA from 1 species
GAGUUUGAUCCUGGCUCAGGAUGAACGCUGGCGGCGUGCCUAACACAUGCAAGUCGAGCGAAGCGCUUAAAUUGGAUUUCUUCGGAAUGACGAUUUUUGUGACUGAGCGGCGGACGGGUGAGUAACGCGUGGGUAACCUGCCUCAUACAGGGGGAUAACAGUUAGAAAUGACUGCUAAUACCGCAUAAGACCACAGCUUCGCAUGAAGCAGUGGCAAAAACUCCGGUGGUAUGAGAUGGACCCGCGUCUGA